AGGUCUAAGUUUUAAUAUUGUGGUUAUCUCCCUUUGACCAUUCAAGACUAUUGAAAGUAUAAUGACCUAUGUGACCUUUUCUGGUCAUCAGGUGUGACCAGUUCUUUGCUUAGUUUUGGAGGGAAUUUGAGGUCAUUGUUCACCUGACUUCUGUGGUAGCCACUACUGGUAGGCACAGCUGAUGUAUUUUAUAUGAUGUAACUUUCAAGACAUUUCAAGAGGUUAGUCAUGGUAUUAUUUCUAGUUCUUUAUGAUUGCAGUUGAAUUGUUGUUUGUAUUUAAAUUGUAGUUAUUGCAUUGUUUUACAAUUCAACAUGGCGGCAUAUAAAUGUAUAUUGUGUAUUCUUGGCAUGAAGAUACCACAUUCUUCUGUGCACUUAUCACAUUCUUAUUUUUACAACCAGACAGACUAACACGGGCACAGUUUGGAUGAUACAGAACGGAGAGUGAGUUGUAGUAAUAGACUACCCGAUCCACAAUCGGUAUGUAAAAUGUAUUGUUGCUGUGUUAGUUGUGUGCUUUAUGUGUUUUAUAGUUUUCUAUGUAUUUUAGCAAUGAUCACGGCCACUAGGUUAUCUCAGCUAAACUAUUCAAUUGAGUUGAAUAGUUGUUAUGACUUAUAUUUUAUUUAGAAGUCAUUAAUUUAUUUCUAUUGAUAAUAUAUAUGAAUAACUAUGUAUUAAUUCUUUAUAUUAUGCUUAUGAUUGUUAUUUCUGUAUUUUCAGAGUACGUCAUAUUAUACUACUCGUAUUGGAUAUUAUGCUACAUUAAAAGUUGAAGUGUGAGCAGCUUUGAGUUUUCUUAGAACACCACGCUAGGAUAUAUAAUGAACCUUUAACUGACAAGUUAGUCCGGAAAUAUUGGCGCCCAACCAUAUGGAUUAUUCUAGCAACAUUUAAGUGCCAGUGUUACAUCUAUAUCAGUCUGUUUCUGAACUUUCCUUAAAAAUUUAUACAACGAAAACAUAUCUGAUUGUUUAAAAUUCCUCAGGAGGGAACUUAACUCGCAUAAAGAGUAAGACAUUUGAGCUGAGGAAUAGUUUUCAAGAAGAAAACUUAAUAACUUUAUGUAUGGUUGAGGACACUCAUUUUAGUGCUAGGGAGGAACAGUGACGGGCAUUUACUCAAUAUUAUAUAUUGGGAGGACAUUUCGGACGUUGGAACAUAGGACGCUUUGGUCGUGAGAACUUCGCCGAUACGGUCGUUGGAGCCCAUGAACGUUUCGGAGCCUAGGACGUUUUCGUUCGUUAGAGUGCAUCAGGAUACAUCAGGAUAGGAACCAGGAGGACAUGUUUUAAAAGUGAACACUGAACAUUGUGUAAUAUAGUGACAUUUUAUCUAGUGGCCAUAUUUACAGUUUUCCUAAACAACAGCGUACAGACUAACACGGGCACAGUUUGGAUGAUACAGAACGGAGAGUGAGUUGUAGUAAUAGACUACCCGAUCCACAAUCGAGUACGUCAUAUUAUACUACUCGUAUUGGAUAUUAUGCUACAUUAAAAGUUGAAGUGUGAGCAGCUUUGAGUUUCCUUAGAACACCACGCUAGGAUAUAUAAUGAACCUU